UAAGCCCUGCUCAGAAGUCAAGAGCAGCAGCGCUGCCGCUUCUCGCAGCCUUUCAUGCCGCGGCCGCUCCUUAUUCUUGUGUCUCGGCCUCUCCCGGCCCCCUCGGACAAAACCCCAGAGCCCGGCCACUCUCUUCCCUCUAAAUCCCCUUUGGGGUCAGUGUUCUACCAGCACCGGGCCGCGCGCCUCUCCCGCCAGCCGUGUGGUUCUUAAAGAGCCGCACCCCUCCUCCGCCCUGCGCGAUCCCCCGACCCCCGCCUCCCCUCCCCUCUCCUCCCGAUCUAGCCCCCCACACCGACGCCUGAGGUCCCUGCUGCCCCGAC
rfam:Callithrix jacchus chromosome 14, whole genome shotgun sequence